UACUCAACAUUGCAGUGACGCCUAACUACGUGCCAGCAGCCGCGGUAAAACGUAGGUCACAAGCGUUGUCCGGAAUUACUGGGUGAAAAGGGAGCGCAGGCGGGAAAACAAGUUGGAAGUGAAAUCCAUGGGCUCAACCCAUGAACUGCUUUCAAAACUGUUUUUCUUGAGUAGUGCAGAGGUAGGCGGAAUUCCCGGUGUAGCGGUGGAAUGCGUAGAUAUCGGGAGGAACACCAGUGGCGAAGGCGGCCUACUGGGCACCAACUGACGCUGAGGCUCGAAAGUGUGGGUAGCAAACAGGAUUAGAUACCCUGGUAGUCCACACCGUAAACGAUGAUUACUAGGUGUUGGAGGAUUGACCCCUUCAGUGCCGCAGUUAACACAAUAAGUAAUCCACCUGGGGAGUACGACCGCAAGGUUGAAACUCAAAGGAAUUGACGGGGGCCCGCACAAGCAGUGGAGUAUGUGGUUUAAUUCGACGCAACGCGAAGAACCUUACCAAGUCUUGACAUCCCUUGACGAACAUAGAAAUAUGUUUUCUCUUCGGAGCAAGGAGACAGGUGGUGCAUGGUUGUCGUCAGCUCGUGUCGUGAGAUGUUGGGUUAAGUCCCGCAACGAGCGCAACCCUUAUGGUCAGUUACUACGCAAGAGGACUCUGGCCGGACUGCCGUUGACAAA
rnacentral:rRNA from 1 species